rnacentral:rRNA from 1 species
CAGUCGUACCUGUGGGUAAUCAGCCUUUUGGGUGUGCUUUUGUGGAGUGUGAGGAGUUAAACGCCUUCAUGCCUGCAUAUUCGUGCACUUUGGGUGUAUUUGCCCGUGUGGUAAGUUAACAUCAAUUUUGGUGGUCAUAAAAUGGCUGGAGGAAUGUAGCUUCGAUCUCGUAUUGAAGUGUUAUAGCCUUCGGUGGAUGUGAUUAUCGGGAUUGAGGAUUGCAACGGAUACCCUUCGGGGCUACCUGUCUGAUCUCUGAUCGUUGCUCUGGUGCCGAAAGCUUGCUUACGGAUAUCAAAGUCGAUGGUCAAUAGGUUAGAACGGGUUAAAUUCGUUAAGGAUGUUGACGUA